UGGGGAAUAUUGCACAAUGGGCGAAAGCCUGAUGCAGCAACGCCGCGUGAGUGAUGAAGGUCUUCGGAUUGUAAAGCUCUGUCUUUUGGGACGAUAAUGACGGUACCAAAGGAGGAAGCCACGGCUAACUACGUGCCAGCAGCCGCGGUAAUACGUAGGUGGCGAGCGUUGUCCGGAUUUACUGGGCGUAAAGGGUGCGUAGGCGGAUGUUUAAGUGAGAUGUGAAAUACCCGGGCUUAACUUGGGUGCUGCAUUUCAAACUGGAUAUCUAGAGUGCAGGAGAGGAGAAUGGAAUUCCUAGUGUAGCGGUGAAAUGCGUAGAGAUUAGGAAGAACACCAGUGGCGAAGGCGAUUCUCUGGACUGUAACUGACGCUGAGGCACGAAAGCGUGAGUAGCAAACAGGAUUAGAUACCCUGGUAGUCCACGCCGUAAACGAUGAGUACUAGGUGUAGGAGGUAUCGACCCCUUCUGUGCCGCAGUAAACACAUU
rnacentral:rRNA from 1 species